rnacentral:rRNA from 1 species
UUCGAUUGUGCCAGCAGCCGCGGUAAUACGUAGGGUGCGAGCGUUAAUCGGAAUUACUGGGCGUAAAGCGUGCGCAGGCGGUUAUGCAAGCCAGAUGUGAAAUCCCCGGGCUCAACCUGGGAAUGGCAUUUGGGACUGCAUGGCUAGAGUAUGGCAGAGGAGACUAGAAUUCCUGGUGUAGCAGUGAAAUGCGUAGAUAUCAGGAGGAAUACCGAUGGCGAAGGCAGGUCUCUGGGUCAAUACUGACGCUCAUGCACGAAAGCGUGGGGAGCAAACAGGAUUAGAUACCCUGGUAGUCCACGCCCUAAACGAUGUCGACUGGUUGUUGGGAGAUUUAUUCUCUUAGUAACGAAGCUAACGCGUGAAGUCGACCGCCUGGGGAGUACGGUCGC